rnacentral:lncRNA from 1 species
CAAGAAAGAAAUGAGGAAGAAUCUGAAGGUCAGAUUGUAAAGAACCCAUCCCCACUUUCUCUUGGAACAUGGAAGUCUGAGAGGCUUCUGAGAGGUGCUAGCUAGUCCUGAAUCAUUUCCUGGCAUGGCCACUUUUUAAUCUUCUGUAUGGGAAUCUGGUCUCCAAGUCAAUUCCCAUUUGCUCUGUACCUCUCUACUGAGCCUGCUAAAGGAAGAGGCUAAGAGGCAUGAAAAUAUAUGACCUCUACUUACCUACCUAUUUUGAGGAGGCUAGGAGGCUGCAGAUGGUAUAGGAUUGGGGAUGAGAUAAGGGCCAUUUGUUGAGUAGAGAGGGUGUCAGUAAAGAAAAAGAGGAGCUGGAGCAAAAAACAGAGAAGAUACUAGAGAGGGAGAUGACC